rnacentral:rRNA from 1 species
UACGUAGGUGACAAGCGUUAUCCGGAAUUACUGGGCGUAAAGCGCACGCAGGCGGCGCGGUAAGUCUGAUGUGAAAUCUCCCGGCUUAACUGGGAGGGGUCAUUGGAAACUGCCGAGCUUGAGGCGAUGAGAGGGGUGUAGAAUUCCCGGUGUAGUGGUGGAAUGCGUAGAUAGUCGGGAGGAAUACCAGUGGCGAAGGCGGCGAUCUGGGUCGAUACUGACGCUGAGGUGCGAAAGCGUGGGGAGCAAACAGG